GUUCGCAUAUUCAGUCGUAGAACCCAGUCGAGAUUUGGGACGUGAAUUGUGAAGUACAAGAAAAGGAUUUUCACAUACAGGAGCGGUUAUGGAAGAUUAUAAAGAUCUGGACCAGUGUACUGUUGAGGGUUACAAUGCCAAAUACAAUGUAGAAGAGAUAAACAAACGAUACAUGGCCAAACUAGAGCUCACGGUGUGUGGAAAUGAAGGAACAGUUGUGGAUGAAAAACAAGAGGAGUUAAGAAAACUGUUUCAUGUAGCGAUUGACCAAAUACAAAAAGAAGAACCCGAUGUUUGGAAGAAUGCUAAGAUUGUUAUUCAGGACAUGUAUGGGCAGUCAUUUACUAUUUCCGCUGGAAAAGGGGAGUACACAUUUACUAUUCACCAUAAUAUAAAAGGGGAAAUACAAGUGUACAGCAGAAAUGUGAAAAGGUUAUUGUCAUUCUCCAACGUAAAACGUAUGUGGUCAGCCUGCAACAAUUAUCUGCAAUCUUUCUGUACUCAGCUUGCCAUUGAAGAUUGAAAAGUACAUUUAACCACCGACAUUGAAGUGUGUACAAAGAUGACGAAAACAUGUGCUUGUAACGUUUUUGUAAAACAUUUGAAUAUUUUAUCAUUAUAAAAGAAGUUUUCGAGUAACUUUGCUCUAUAUCGAUUGAGAGAUGCAAUGUUUUAGUGAUAUGGCUUAAUAUACGGGACUUUUGAUAGCGAACCAUUAAAACACAUCGCUGUAAUGAUCAAGUCAAACAGGUUCUACAUUGAUCAGAUAUGCCACUGCAGAUAAUAGUGAAGGAAUAGAUUUCGGAACAUACAGUUUGAACUGUUGCUUUUAAUGCCUGGCAGGCUGUAUUGAAAUAACAAAAUAGUGGAUUUCAGAAACUUGCUAUAUCCCCAAGCCAUGUUUUACUGUACAUUGUUUGAUCUGUAAGUUUGUGUAGAGAUUAAAAAAUUCCCGAGGGGAUUACAUGUAAUCUGAUGGUAGAGUAAGGAUUUUUUUAUUGUGGUGUUGUCUAUAAAGUAUC